rnacentral:rRNA from 1 species
UUGAACGCUGGCGGCAUGCUUUACACAUGCAAGUCGAACGGCAGCGGGGUAGUGCUUGCACUACUGCCGGCGAGUGGCGAACGGGUGAGUAAUAUAUCGGAACGUACCGAGUAAUGGGGGAUAACCAAUCGAAAGAUUGGCUAAUACCGCAUACGUCCUGAGGGAGAAAGCGGGGGAUCGCAAGACCUCGCGUUAUUCGAGCGGCCGAUAACUGAUUAGCUAGUUGGUGGGGUAAAGGCCUACCAAGGCGACGAUCAGUAGCGGGUCUGAGAGGACGAUCCGCCACACUGGGACUGAGACACGGCCCAGACUCCUACGGGAGGCAGCAGUGGGGAAUUUUGGACAAUGGGGGCAACCCUGAUCCAGCCAUGCCGCGUGUAUGAAGAAGGCCUUCGGGUUGUAAAGUACUUUUGUUAGGGAAGAAAAGGGAAGUGCUAAUACCACUUUUUGCUGACGGUACCUAAAGAAUAAGCACCGGCUAUCUACGUG